rnacentral:rRNA from 1 species
UAAUACAAGAUGGCAUCAUGAGUCCGCAUGUUCACAUGAUUAAAGGUAUUCCGGUAGACGAUGGGGAUGCGUUCCAUUAGAUAGUAGGCGGGGUAACGGCCCACCUAGUCUUCGAUGGAUAGGGGUUCUGAGAGGAAGGUCCCCCACAUUGGAACUGAGACACGGUCCAAACUCCUACGGGAGGCAGCAGUGAGGAAUAUUGGUCAAUGGGCGAGAGCCUGAACCAGCCAAGUAGCGUGAAGGAUGACUGCCCUAUGGGUUGUAAACUUCUUUUAUAAAGGAAUAAAGUCGGGUAUGCAUACCCGUUUGCAUGUACUUUAUGAAUAAGGAUCGGCUAACUCCGUGCCAGCAGCCGCGGUAAUACGGAGGAUCCGAGCGUUAUCCGGAUUUAUUGGGUUUAAAGGGAGCGUAGAUGGAUGUUUAAGUCAGUUGUGAAAGUUUGCGGCUCAACCGUAAAAUUGCAGUUGAUACUGGAUAUCUUGAGUGCAGUUGAGGCAGGCGGAAUUCGUGGUGUAGCGGUGAAAUGCUUAGAUAUCACGAAGAACUCCGAUUGCGAAGGCAGCCUGCUAAGCUGCAACUGACAUUGAGGCUCGAAAGUGUGGGUAUCAAACAGGAUUAGAUACC